rnacentral:rRNA from 1 species
UCCCAUAGUAACGGCGAGUGAACUGGGAAAAGCCCAGCGCUGAAUCUUUCGAUUUUUAAAUCGUAAAGAAAUGUAGCGUAUAGGUAUGAUUGUCGGUUUGUUUAGCAUGUCCAAAGUUCCUUUGAUAGGGGCCACAUUCCAAAGAGGGUGCGAGACCUGUGCGGACAGUUGAACAUACCGUGUGAUURUACCUUGGAGUCGGGUUGCUUGAAAGUGCAGCCUUAAGUGGGUGAUAAACUUCAUCUAAGGCUAAAUACGGACGCGAAUUCGAUAGCAAACAAGUACUGUGAAGGAAAGUUGCAAAGAACUUUGAAGAGAGAGUUCAAGAGAACGUGAAAUCGUUGAAGUGGAACCGGAGAGAGUUGACGUAGUCUGAUGGAUAAGUAUUACAAGAAUCGCAUUUUUUAUUAGAAUGUGAUCGAGUAUUAUGUAUGCCAUCAAUGACUGUGCUCACAGCAUCGAUCACAUAAACUGAACUUCGUUGACAUGUUGCCUAUUCUGUAUGUCGUGUAUGGAAUGGUGUCUUGUGUCGUGUGUAGUGAAGUUUAUUGUGUGUGAUGUUGAAAUAUAUGAUUGAGCAUAUGUCAAUUAUGUGAGCAUAAAAGUCAACCACCUCUCCGACCCGUCUUGAAACACGGACCGAGGAGUGUAACUUGUACGCGAGUCAAUAGGUGAAAAACCUAAAGGCGAAACGAAAGUGAAGGUACGGUUAACUGACUGACAUGGGAAAUGUGAUCGGGCGUUAUGUGAUGUGAAAAUACACUUAACGAAACCACACACAUUACACCAUGGCCCUGUCUUGUCUGCAUGCAGAUGGGCAGCGGUAGAGCGUACAGGUUGCGACCCGAAAGAUGGUGAACUAUGCCUGAGCAGGACGAAGUCAGAGGAAACUCUGAUGGAAGUCCGUAUCGGUUCUGACGUGCAAAUCGAUCGAUAGAUCUUGGGUAUAGGGGCGAAAGACUAAUCG